GACGAACGCUGGCGGCGUGCUUAACACAUGCAAGUUGAACGGUAUGACAUGGAAGCUUGCUGAAGUGUCAUAUAGUAGCGGACGGGUGAGUAAUGCAUGAGAAGCUGCUAUUGGGAGGGGGACAACAGUUGGAAACGGCUGCUAAUACCCCGUAUGCCGGAAGGUGAAAGGGAGCGAUCCGCCCGAUGAGGUGCUCAUGUCCUAUCAGCUGGUUGGUGGGGUAACGGCCUACCAAGGCGACGACGGGUAGCCGGCCUGAGAGGGUGAACGGCCACACUGGAACUGAGAUACGGUCCAGACUCCUACGGGAGGCAGCAGUGGGGAAUAUUGGGCAAUGGGGGGAACCCUGACCCAGCGACGCCGCGUGAGGGAAGACGGCCUUCGGGUUGUAAACCUCUUUUGUACGGGAAGAAGGAAGUGACGGUACUGUACGAAUAAGUCCCGGCUAACUACGUGCCAGCAGCCGCCGUAACAC
rnacentral:rRNA from 1 species